rnacentral:rRNA from 1 species
UAUUCCUACGGGGCGCAGCAGUGGGGGAUAUUGCACAAUGGAGGGAACUCUGAUGCAGCGACGCCGCGUGAGGGAAGAAGGUUUUCGGAUUGUAAACCUCUGUCUUCGGUGACGAAUCGAGACGGUAGCCGAGGAGGAAGCCACGGCUAACUACGUGCCAGCAGCCGCGGUAAUACGUAGGUGGCAAGCGUUGUCCGGAAUUACUGGGUGUAAAGGGAGCGUAGGCGGGAAAGCAAGUUGAAUGUUUAAGGAAUGGGCUCAACCUGUACAAGCGUUAAAAGCUGUUUUUCUUGAGUGGAG